rnacentral:rRNA from 1 species
GACGAAUGCUGGCUGCGUGUUUAACACAUGCAAGUCGAACGGUGAACAGGGGCUUGCCCCUGGGAUCAGUGGCGAACGGGUGAGUAACACGUGGGCAACCUGCCCCUUACUCUGGGAUAACUCCGGGAAACCGGGGCUAAUACCGGAUACGACCUGGUGCGACAUCGCACCGGGUGGAAAGAACUUCGGUGAGGGAUGGGCCCGCGGCCUAUCAGCUUGUUGGUGGGGGAACGGCCCACCAAGGCGACGACGGGUAGCCGGUCUGAGAGGGCGACCGGCCACACUGGGACUGAGACACGGCCCAGACUCCUACGGGAGGCAGCAGUGGGGAAUAUUGCGCAAUGGGCGAAAGCCUGACGCAGCGACGCAGCGUGAGGGACGAAGGCCUUCGGGUUGUAAACCUCUUUCAGCGGGGACGAAGCGCAAGUGACGGUACCCGCAGAAGAAGCACCGGCUAACUACGUGCCAGCAGCCGCCGUAA